UACAGAGGUCCCGAGCGUUGUUCGGAUUCACUGGGCGUAAAGGGUGCGUAGGUGGUGAGGUAAGUCGGAUGUGAAAUCUCCGAGCUCAACUCGGAAAUGGCAUUGGAAACUACCUUGCUUGAGGGUUGGAGGGGGGACUGGAAUACUUGGUGUAGCAGUGAAAUGCGUAGAUAUCGAGUGGAACACCAGUGGCGAAGGCGAGUCCCUGGACAACUCCUGACACUGAGGCACGAAAGCUAGGGGAGCAAACAGG
rnacentral:rRNA from 1 species